rnacentral:rRNA from 1 species
UACGGAGGGUGCAAGCGUUAUCCGGAAUCAUUGGGUUUAAAGGGUCCGUAGGCGGAUUAAUAAGUCAGAGGUGAAAUCCCACAGCUUAACUGUGGAACUGCCUUUGAUACUGUUAGUCUUGAGUUAUAUGGAAGUAGAUAGAAUGUGUAGUGUAGCGGUGAAAUGCAUAGAUAUUACACAGAAUACCGAUUGCGAAGGCAGUCUACUACGUAUAUACUGACGCUAAUGGACGAAAGCGUGGGGAGCGAACAGG